rfam:Sphaeroforma arctica JP610 cont1.9351, whole genome shotgun sequence.
ACCCUGGUCUUUUUUAAGACCACCCUACUGACAAAGAAAUAUAUCA